AAGCCAUGGUGUGGCAGCCUUAGGAGCAAUUCCUUGAAACGCUCCCAUGCCUUGAGAAAUGACUCAUCCCUCUCCUGCCUAAAACCUUGGAUUUGACGCCUAAAAGUUU